AUGUAUACACACACACACACCCAUCAUAUAUAUAUACACACACACACCCAUCAUAUAUAUAUACACACACACCCAUCAUAUAUAUAUAUACACACACACAUCAUAUAUAUAUAUAAAAACACACCCAUCUUACAUAUAUACACACACACCCAUCAUAUAUAUACACACACACACCCAUCAUAUAUAUAUACACACACACCCAUCAUAUAUAUAUACACACACACACCCAUCAUAUAUAUAUACACACACACACACACCAUAUAUAUAUAUACACACACCCAUCAUAUAUAUAUAUACACACACACACCCAUCAUAUAUAUAUAUACACACACACCCAUCAUAUAUAUAUAUACACACACACACCCAUCACAUAUAUAUAUACACACACACACCCAUCAUACAUAUAUAUACACACACACCCAUCAUAUAUAUACACACACACACACCCAUCAUAUAUAUACACACACACACCCAUCAUAUAUAUAUACACACACCCAUCAUAUAUAUAUACACACACACCCAUCAUAUAUAUAUAUACACACACACACCCAUCAUAUAUAUAUAUACACACACACACCCAUCAUAUAUAUAUACACACAUACCCAUCAUAUAUAUAUAUACACACACCCAUCAUAUACAUAUACACACACACACACAGCCAUCAUAUAUAUAUACACACACACACCCAUUAUAUAUAUAUACACACACACCCAUCAUAUAUAUAUAUAUAUGCACACACACCCAUCAUAUAUAUAUAUAUACACACACACCCAUCAUAUAUAUACACACACACACCCAUCAUAUAUAUAUACACACACACACCCAUCAUAUAUAUAUAUACACACACCCAUCAUAUAUAUAUAUAUACACACACCCAUCAUAUAUAUACACACACACACACCCAUCAUAUAUAUAUACACAAACACCCAUCAUAUAUAUAUAUACACACACACCCAUCAUAUAUAUGUACACACACACCCAUCAUAUAUAUAUACUAACACACACUUCCAUCAUAUAUAUAUACACACACACCCAUCAUACACACACACUCCCAUCAUAUAUAUAUAUACACACACACCCAUCAUAUAUAUAUACACACACACACCCAUCAUAUAUAUAUACACACACACACACCCAUCAUAUAUAUAUACUAUAUACACACACCCAUCAUAUAUAUAUACACAUACACCCAUCAUAUAUAUAUAUACACACACACACCCAUCAUAUAUAUAUACACACACACCCAUUAUAUAUAUAUAUACACACACACCCAUCAUAUUUAUAUAUAUACACACACGCACCCAUCAUAUAUAUAUACACAAACCCAUCAUAUAUAUAUACACACACACCCAUCAUAUAUAUAUACACACACACCCAUCAUAUAUGUGUACACACACACACACCCAUCAUAUAUAUAUACACACACACCCAUCAUAUAUAUAUACACACACACACCCAUCAUAUACAUAUACACACACACCCAUCAUAUAUAUACACACACACACCCAUCACAUAUAUAUACACACACACCCAUCAUACAUAUAUACACACACACCCAUCAUAUAUAUAUACACACACACCCAUCAUAUAUAUAUACACACACACACACACCCAUUAUAUAUAUAUAUAUACACACACACACACACACAGACACAGAGUGGGAAUGCUGGGUCAUAUGGUGUCCUAGUUUUAAUUUUUUUAGGAAACUUCAUAAUAUUUUGUAUAAUAGUUGUACCAACUAUUGUGAAAAAUUAG
ensembl:lncRNA